rnacentral:rRNA from 1 species
UACGUAGGGUGCGAGCGUUAAUCGGAAUACUGGGCGUAAAGCGUGCGCAGGCGGUUCGCUGUGUCCUGUGUGAAAGCCCCGGGCUUAACCUGGGAAUGGCAUGGGAAACUGGCGAGCUUGAGUGCGGCAGAGGGGGGUGGAAUUCCGCGUGUAGCAGUGAAAUGCGUAGAGAUGCGGAGGAACACCGAUGGCGAAGGCAGCCCCCUGGGUCGACACUGACGCUCAGGCACGAAAGCGUGGGGAGCAAACAGG